rnacentral:rRNA from 1 species
UCUAAGCACAUGCCUUAAUACGGUGAAGCCGCGAAUAGCUCAUUACAACAGCCAUCGUUUACUAGAAAAUAGUUAUCUUACUUGGAUAACUGUGGCAAUUCUAGAGCUAAUACAUGCAAAAGAGCUCCGCCCGCAAGGAACGAGCGCAUUUAUUAGAAUAAAAACCAAUCGGGCUUCGGCCUGUAAUUUGGUGAAUCUGAAUAACUUUGCCAAUCGCACAGUCCUAGUACUGGCGAUGUAUCUUUCAAGUGUCUGCCUUAUCAACUUUCGAUGGUAGGUUACACGCCUACCAUGGUAGUAACGGGUAACGGAGAAUAAGGGUUCGACUCCGGAGAGGGAGCCUGAGAAACGGCUACCACAUCCAAGGAAGGCAGCAGGCGCGCAAAUUACCCACUUCCAGAACGGAGAGGUAGUGACGAAAAAUAACGAGACAGUCCUCUUCGAGGUCUGUCAUCGGAAUGGGUACAAUUUAAAUCCUUUAACGAGGAUCUAUUGGAGGGCAAGUCUGGUGCCAG